rnacentral:rRNA from 1 species
CCUACGGGAGGCAGCAGUGGGGAAUAUUGCGCAAUGGGCGAAAGCCUGACGCAGCGACGCCGCGUGAGGGAUGAAGGUCUUCGGCUCGUCAACCUCUGUCAGCAGGGAGGAACGGUCACUGUGCUAAUCAGCAGUGAAUUGACGGUACCUGCAACGGAAGCACCGGCUAACUCCGUCCCAGCCGCCGCGGUAGUACGGAGGGGGCGAGCGUUAAUCGGAAUUACUGGGCGUAAGGGGCUCGUAGGCGGUAUGUCAAGUCAAGGUUGAAAGCCCCGCGAUCAACGUGGGAAGUGCCUUUGAAACUGGCAAACUGGAGUGUGUAAGAGGAUAGUGGAAUUCCAGGUGUAGGGGUGAAAUCCGUAGAUAUC